CUUCAACGUGCCGGUCGUCUGUGUGAGCUGCUUGAUCGUGUGUUUUUGUGUUUGCUGUAAUGAAAUGGGACGUAGUUAGCGUGCACAAAAGUGCCAGAAGAUACAUUGUGUCUCGCUGCAAACUCGGCGUAUGCGUGGCGCGCUAGGCAAACAUGGAACAACGAUUUUUGUGCCGUGGCCUUUGUGUCUUGUCAUGAAAAGUUCGGUGGACAUCGCAAAGAAAUAAUUCCUAUUGGUAGCGUGCCUCAGAUCGUCCACUACGCAGCGGCAUGUAUGCUGGGAGUAACAUCGUCGACGCAGCACCGGCAACUUGGAGAGCGUCGUGCCAUUGAAAAGCAGUGUCCACGUGAUGGCAGGGAACCUGUGGCCAUGGCUACAGCAGAACAGCGUGUAAUCUGGAUGUCAGGUGAACGAUCUUAUCUGGCCUGAAGUCCUAUGGCGGCAAUGCACGACCGCAUUGGGGAGGCUGAGGUUCAGGGUAAGAGCCUUUAUGGAAAGGGCAGUAACAGGCACAAGGAGGACCCAGUGAAGGAGGAAUUGGACCCAGUUCAUCUGAAUGCUGUAAUUGGUUACAUCCUCCAGCAAGUUCACGACGACAACUGUGCAGCUCAAAAGCAGCCUGUCCUCCAUGCUAAGCAGGGAGAUUAAGUAGCCUGGAAAGCAGAUGGUCCUGUAAUUACAGGGUGUUCUUUUUAGCUGCACCAAAUUUUUAAAAUUAGAAAUAUAUAUAUCUUGGUCACGUUAGGUUUACCAUUCGAGUGUACGGAUUGGCGGCCUCUAGAUACAGAGCAAUUUAGUCACUUAAGUGUGUAAUUAGUGAAGUUAAGCUAAUUAACUUUCUAAUUAUCAACUAUAGGUGGCUACAGCAAAUGAGUACUUUGGGGCCCGUCGUCGACACUACCUAUUCCAACGAUCACAUUUUGAAUAGAGGAGUUCAUGUGGGAGCUACACGAACAAUUAGUUCCCCUUGGCAGGCUCCUUGAAACCGAAACUGCCCGCAAAAAGAGCGUCUGUGUCGUCGAUGUCACUGCCCCCAUGCAUUUCGUAACAUCUCCGAGGUAAGCGCCAGUUCGGCCCCGCGAGCAGCUUGCAUUAUUGCUAUCUGCGGCGUUCGCAGUCGACGCUACAGAUUGAUAUGAUGCCGUGCCUGCAGUAUCUAAAAGCCCAAUUUAAGGAGCAGGGUUGGCGCUACAGCGAAACAUGGUGCUCAACAGAAUGACGAUGUAAAUUUGGCGGCCCACCGGCAUUGAAGCGCUAGGCCAACGCUGCAGACAUCAAGGAGAUAACGCAAGCUGCUCGUUGGGCUGGAC